AGGCUUGAAAAGUAGCACACCUUCUUAACCAAUUCCGAAAGGGUUCUGUCACUGUAGAAAAUAUUAGAGCUCUUGAAACAAGAUAUAAAAGCUGACACACCAGAAGCUGCCUUAAAUUGCUUUCAUUAACAUCAGUUCCCUUCCCAAAUUGCCGGAAUCCUAAAAGAACAAUUCCUCAUGUUUCCAAAAUUGAACUCACCAAGUAUUGUGGAAUCUUGUAGUUUAGUUGGUUAACUGCUUGAACUUUUACCUUGUUUGGUGAGGGUUCGAUUCCCCACCUAGUAAUCUCCAUAAAAAUUUAUUAAGGAAAAAAUUCACUGAGCAACAACCAUCAAAAACCUACUAUCUCAAUUCAUUCAAUUCUUUACUAUUUUUAAAUGACGAUAGUGUUUGGACCGACUUGAUUAAUAUACCAAGUAACCCAGCUACAGCAAAACAAGCACACAGGUGGAAAUCCUAAGCUCGUACUUAUAUAUGGCACUUUACAGUAAUCAAAUUGGAAAAAAAAAUACAAAAACAUAAAAUGAAAGGUAAACGUUAUAGGUCAAAUUUUGAAAUGAGAAUUGGACCUUAGAAAGUUCAAGAAGGGCAUUUUCUCGAAGAUCGGGGUUGCUGAGUUCAAGCACGAGUUGCUCUGCUGAUUGCAUUUUGUUACGGUCCUGAGUUGCAGCGGCGGAUGCCGAGGCUGUGCUGCCCGGUCCUCCUCCGAAGGCGGUGAGCAUUGAGAGUGACUGAGGCAGGUUUGCCAUGUCUGAAGGCUCAAUUCAAGCUU
rnacentral:lncRNA from 1 species